rnacentral:lncRNA from 1 species
UUUUUGAAUUCCUUUUGCUUAAAUUUAAGUCCUUUGUUCUGUUUUUACUUUUAUAUUCAGCAGCUUUUUCUUGACACAAUCUAUUGCUUGAGAUUUGCGUUUUAACAAAUAAACCCAGGUAAAUCGACUACUCAUGUCAAUGAACGAAACAUAAUACAAAUUCCAUUCACAAGGAACAAAUGCUGGUCCCCACAAAUCAGAAACAACUAAUUCAAACAAUUCAGCAUAUUUAGUACUAGAUUGUGAAAAGGGCAAUUUAUGAGAUUUGCCUUUUUGACAUGCUACACAAACAUUAGCAAGACAUUUUUUUUUGCAAGUAAUCUGACACUGAUCAAGAACAGUCUUUACAAUAGUAGAAAAAGGAUGACCAAGCCUUUUAUGCCACAAAGUAAAAACAUUAUCAUCUGUGGAGCAAUCCUGAAUAGCAGCGUUGUGAACAAAAAAGCGGAGGAUAACCGAUUCUGCUGAAAAAUGAUAGAGCCCAUCACGAACUUGGCCCCGCAUCAAUAUUUCCUGUGUCUGGAUGUCCUCAAUCACACAAUAAGAUAGAUGAAACUCAAAAAUACAUUAUUUUUAGUAGCAAAUUUAGAAACAGAUAGCAAAUUUUUCCAGAUGCUUGCAACACACAAAACAUUCAACAGAUGAAAUAAUUUCUUCUGUGUUGGUAUAGUUGUACUCCCAAUGAAGGAAAUCUUAGUGGAAGCUCCAUUACCCAUUAGAAGAGAGGAAUUAACUGAAUAUGGAUUGGAGGUAUGUAAAUUGAAGGCAUUUUGACACACGUGGUGAGUAGCCCCUAAAUCUGGACACCAAGAAGUGCUCCCUACCGGAAAUGGAACAUAAGAAUCAGUGGUAUUAAAAUUCGAACCAUAGGCAGUGGCAUCAAAAUAGUCAGAGGCAUGCAAGUCAAAAAGCCAGAGGGUAUUCCAACAAAUUGAGACGAGUCAUACUGAGACGAGUCAACAUCAAAUACACGAGCACGCAGUUUUGUUAUCCACGGAACCUCAGGAGCAGUGGUCUACAAAUUCCUAUCAAGAUGAACACAAUUAGCAUUGGGCCUAGAGAAAUAUUGUCCAUCAUUCAAUCGAGGCCUGAUAAAGCUAUUAGACCCAAAGUUAUGGCCUGCACCAAUCGGCCCACGAGCAUUAACGUCCAUGCCCUUUUCACCAUCAUCAUAACACGAGCCCAAGGAGGGAGGAACAAACCGUCCACCACCAUGCCUAUAAGACACGUCAACAUUUGGCCUAGUACCAUGUGGCACAAACAUUUGCGGCCCAAAUGGCACAUUUAGUGCAUGCGGCCACGUGGGGCCAUAUUUUCUAUUCCUAUAUUCGGUUUAAUAUAUGAAGGCAGAGACCAAUUUUGACCAGAUUUGCAAUUUUGACCAUAGUCAUUUGAAAAACCAGACACGAGCCCACCUCAAUGCGCCACAACUGGCGAUUGCUUAUCACGAUGGUACCUGUAAUAACAACGUUGAGCAAGAUGACCAUUCCGACUACAAAUUUGGCAUUAAAAUCGAGGAAAAAAAUUGAAACCACGACCACGAACUGAAGAACGACCACCACAAGAAGAACCAUCCUCCACGAGUGGCUGAGAUCCUUCUACAUAAUUCUCAGCAACCACCACCUAUUGAACAGAUCUACUCUGUCGAGUCUCGCACUCAAGCAGCACAUCAACAAGACGUUGAAACGGCAACGGGGCCGAAGAAAGCGAGACAGAGGACACGAUUCCCUCAAAUUCAGAAGAGAGACCCGCAAGCAAAAUCGUCGAUCUUUUGGCCUCUAAAAUCAGAGAACCAGACACUGUAAGAAGAGCACACAGACCAUUGAUUUUGUCAACAUAAGAUAGGAUAGAAAGGCUACCUUUCUUAAGCGGAUAAAGUUCGUGACGAAUUGAGAUUGCUUUGUACUCGUGUCAGCCGCAAAUAAGCUAUUCGCCAUGAGCCACACAUCGUUCGUGAUCUAGAAGUUCGUGAAGAAGGACAGAAUGGAAGGACUUAUGGUAGAGAGUAGCCAUAAAGUGAGAAGGUUGUCUUGUUGAGUAAACGCCGAGGUAAACGAAUUUGCAGUAAGAGAUCCAUCAGAAGCUUGAACGAAUCUCGUCGGAGCAAUCAAAGUGCCAUAAAAAAAUACAAACAAAUCGUAACUAGCAAGAAUAAAAUGAACUUGCUGUUGCCACUGAAUGAACGAGCCCUUAUCAAGUUUAACAAUCUCAUGUUGAGGAAAAGAACGAUCCGAUCACCAGUGAACACAAAACCACUAGGUUCAACAGAGUCAGAGUCGGCGGAGUGCGUGAUAGCCAUGCCCAAGAAUCACCGAGUGAUUGAUACCAUGAUAGAAGCUUAGUAAAAUAAAAAAUUCUUAAAGAAGGAAGAAAGUAACUAAUAGAGGUAUUAUUCUUUAAGCUUGACUUGUAUUCAUUAUUGCAUACAUGACUUAUAUAUAGAAGGAAUAAGCCUAACUGCUGCUAACAACUCUUUAACAAAUACCAACUUUGUUAACUGCCUAACCACCUGACUUAUCACUUUAACAUUGAUAUACCUAUGGACCCUAAUGCAAACUUGUUCUAGGACAGAGGGAGCCUCUAAAAUAUCCUAGUUAAUAUCAAAGUUUAGUUGGGAAAUUGAACUAUUUUACUAUCACACAUUUGACUUUUUUUUAGUGAGUGUGGUAAAUCAAUUUCUUCAAGCUCUAUGUGAUAGUUAUUGAGAUACAAUGAUACGUAUCCUUCGAUACAUCAAAGGUGUGACCAGAAAAGAUUUGUUACAUGAAGAGAAAGGAAAUACAUAGGUUGUUUGGUAUUCAAAUGUAGAUUGGGCAAGAUCUCACUUAGAUAGAAAGUCUACUUUAGGAUAUUAUGUCUUCUUUAGAGGAAAUAUAAUAUCAUGGAAAGGUAUAAAGCAAGAUGUUGUGACAAGAUAAGUAUAGAAGCAGAGUAUCAAGCCAUCGCCUUAGUCACUUGUGAACUUAUCUGAUUGAAAUAGCUUCUUCUGGAAUUAAAGAGUGAAAUUGGUAGCCUAGUGCAGUUGUGAUAAUCAAGCAACUCGACAUAUUUCUACGAAUUUGAUAUUUCAAGAAAGGACAAAACCCAUAGAGAUUGAUUAUAUAGAAAAUUAAGGUAAAGUGUAUUACCACUGGUUUUGUCACUUCUAAUGAUCAACUAGCAGAUGUCCUCACUAAAUCUCUUAGGAAACCUUGGAUUGAGUUUAUAUGUAACAAGCUAGGAGCAUAUGAUUUAUAUGCUUCAGCUUGAAGGGGGAGUGUUAUUAUAUGCAUGAUCUUAGGAUAUGAUUUUGUAUUUUCACUCUCUAUGUAGUAGGUUGAAAAUUAGGUAAUUGCAAAUUAUUUUGCUUAUUUUUCGUAUAUUCUUUCGUGUAUAAAUUGUUAUGAUUAUGUGUUUUUUUUGUGUAAUGAUUUUGUUAGUCUACUUGCAAUUUAUGAAUUGGUUAAAUAAAUAAAGUUUCAUAAUUAAUUUAUUAUAUCUUUGUAUAAUUAUCCUCAAUGAUUUUUGCAUAAAAAGUAAAAUGAAUAAAUAAAUUUUAGCACAUUGAAUAUUUAAGGAUUUAACUAAUAUUAAGUUGCAUUAUAUGGUGAGUCUAUGAUGUGAGAAGACAACUUAUAUUAGUAGGUAAUUUAAAUUGUUUGUAGUCCAUGGAAUUAAAAAUUAGCAAUUGAUUCAUGGGGACUAUUAGAUUAUUUAUUAGUCCAAUUAGGGAGAUACAUUAUCUCGGGUGUUAGAGCAAUUGACUCCCAAAAAAUAAGAACAUAGGUGUGAUUGACAAUAUAUCGGGUGGAACCCAAGUAGAAUUUAUCCUGGAUCCAUUUAUAAAAUUAUUCACUUGAGAUAUUCAUGGUGUGACUUACCUCAAUCCCGAGUAAGUGGAUGACCAUGUGUACCUAACUUAUAUACUUUGAAACAUUGAGAGUCUGUGUUCCUUUGGUAUUAAAGUCAAAAAUUGGAUUAUUAGGUAUAUGACUUAUGUAUGGCAUGGCUUCACUUGCAAUAGUGGAAUUCAUAACUCGGUUAAACAAUAAUUGAUAUCUUCUCAUGUGCAAAGCAGGAACUAUAAGAAAGGAACGUGGUCACGGAUCAUUCAUUUGGGACGAAUGUUUAUGACUACUAUUUGUUAGCAAUGAUCAUUUUCAUCAUGGAAGAUGCAAUGGUGAUCAUGAGAUAAAAUAGAAUUGAAAUGGGUGAACAGAUUUAUAACCCUAAGGGAUCAAAGGUAUCCUAUAAGGUUAACACAUAAAUGACAGGGCUAUUGGAUAAAAGCGUAAACCUAUUUUGCUUUCAUAAUAAUAUAUAAGGGGGAGACCAAUCAUGAUACUUUUAGUGAAUUGACUCUAUGACUAAAUAAUUUUUUAUUAAUAGGCAUAGAGUUAAAACUUAAUUACAAAUUAUUUGAGCUCUAAUUAUAUAUGUCUGAUCGCUCCCUUCGCUAGCUAACCACAACUCUAUGAGGAUUGCUAAUAAGAACUGAUAUGAUGAAUGAAUGAAAAUGAUGUAUGAGAAAUAAGUUUCAUGGAUUAUUAUUCCUAGUAAAUGCAUUUUCUUGAAGAGCAAAAGAUAACUUGGAAAUUAAUUUAAUUUUUUGGAUUAUUAUUUAAUUAAAUUUAAUUAAAUAUUUGAGUCUAAAGUGAUUUUAAAUUAAUUAGUCAACGCAGUUUUACUAAGUAGGAUUAUUAAAUUUAGGCUAAAUGCUCAAAUUGGAGCCUAACCUUUUAGGAGUUACUCAUAGAAAGGCCAAACAUUUCUAAAUGCUCAUAUAAAGGCCUAACAUUUACAAAAGUGUCCAAAUCAAAGCCAAAACUUUUGAAAUGCUUAAAUAUGGGCCAAAACUUUUUGAAAGUGCUCAAAUAAGAGCCGAACCUUAUAGUAUAUCAUGUAUCAAAUUAUGUUUUUAUUAUUUUCUUUUAUUUUCAAGCAAUAUUUGAUUUAACUGUCAUGUAUUCUAUUCUAAAUAUGUUAGAAUUUACCUAAUUUUUACUCAAAUUGGGUUGAAGUACGUGGAAAACCCUUUUUUAAACAUUUUUAUAAAGGUUAGGCCCUUAUAUGAGCAUUUUAAAAGGUUUGGCCUUUAUGUGAGCAACCCCUUAAUGGUUGGGUCUUAAUUUAAGCAUUUAGGUUUAAAUUUAUUGACUCAUGGAUUCAAAUAUGAUAAAAUAAUCAUGAAUUUGACACAAUUAAAAUUGAGUUGAGAAAAUAAUUUAAUUAAAUUAAUUAAUAUUUUAAGAAUAAAAAACUAGUCAUUAAGUUGGAUAAUUAUAUAAGCUCAUUUUAAAUUAAUUUAAAAUUAGACUAUACAUAUAAUUGUAACUAAUAUAUAAAAGGUCCAAAGAAAUCAUUUAUUAGGCAAGUGGGCCACACAUACAGGUCUCCCUAAGCUUGUCACCCACCUUAGUUGAAGUUCUAGUAGAACUCCAAUUUUUUAUUAAAAUAUUUUUUUUCUUUUUCCUAUUCUAAUAGAAUUUUUGUGUUAUUUUUUCCUAUAUAUAAGAAUUAGGGGCUGCCAAAAAUAAGACACAAAUAAAUUCGAGUAUACUCUGUCGAAUUUUAGUGAAAAAUUUUAUUCCGUUAUUUUUUUAAGUUAAAUAAAUCUUAAUUUUUUGUGAGUAUUUGCGGUUCAAAUUUGUCAGAUUAUAAUUGCAUACUUCUUGGCAAUUAUUACUCAAUUUGUAAGAUUGAAUUUAUCGAUUUUUUAUUCCCUUUGAGAAAUUUGACUUUUCCCAUUUGAAAGUUUCGUUUUAUUAUUAUUAUUUGGUUCUUGGUUCUUUUUAUAGAGUAACUCUUUAAGCAUCCGGAGGUUUAAAAAUAGUGAAAAAGAUUAUUCAAUUGAAAGCUAAAAUAAUUUAAAUAUUAGAUUCAAGAUUUGACGAAUCUCCUUAACUCAAUACACAUUUACUAAAUUUGAUGACAUUUAUUACUAUAAAUAUCACAAUUAAGAUUCGAUUUUAUAAUAAAAAUAAACAUAAAAUCUCACCAUGCAACAAAUUUAUUUUUCAUAACUUAUUUUUCCCACAUAAGUACCCUAAUGACAAAAAUUUAGCUUCAACUCUUCCUUUCUCUUUCUCUUUUUCUAUAUUUUCUUCUCUCAUUUUCUUGCCUUUUUCCUUCUCGAGACAGCAGCCUCCUUUUUCCUUCCUUUCUCCUCUCGAAAUUCACAAUUAAUUUUGUGUUUCUUGUAAGGUUAAUAUAAUUUUUAGUCAUUAAAUUUGAUAAUUAAAUCCAUUUUAGUAUUUAUAUAUUUCUGUUCACUUGCUACAUGAAUUUGUCAAUUAAGUUUAUUUUGAUCUCUAAUUAUGGAUUCAAUCGAGAUUUUGCCACAUCAUCACCUAAAAAUUUUUAAAAAAGGAGAUGACAUCACACUAUCUUAAAGUAUCAUAUUAUCAAACUUUUAUAUUUGACAAGUCAAGAACCAAAAUAGACUCAAUUGCUAAAUUCAAGUAUCAAAGUGAGAAAAAGAUUUUUUUUUUUUUUGCUUCAUUCAAACUGCAUUGUUGUCAAAGACAGAGAGAGCAGCAACCAAAACUUCAAAAUAACAGCAAACAAUCUUUGAACACAGUCCAACUAAAAAAAACCAGCUAAUACAACAAAACAAAAAAGAUAUGAGUACAAAAAUGAAUUUAAUUAUUAAGUUGAAAGACUAAAACUUGUAUUCACCCUUUAUCGUAAAUGUAGCAUGUAGAGGCCCAAAUUUGCCCAGGCCCAAAAAAAAACAAAACCAAAACAAAUUAAAUAACAGUCCAAGAUAAAAAAAAAGUAUAUCCAAAUACAUGACCCAAAAUAACAAAGCCCAAAUGACCCACUACACAGAAAACCCUAGAGCCCAUGACCCAAAAAUUUUAAGAAAAUUCAGGAACCCUAAUCCUCUUCUGGCGCCACAGUCUCCAUGUGCGCUCUCGGCGCGCACACCGCCCAAGGCUCUACCCUGGCACUGCUUGCAUCGAAAUGGAAAGCUCCUUUCUUUAUUAACCGAACGCCGAACCUGCAAAGAAGACCGAAAUAGCAAAGAGACAGAGGCGAAACAGAAGCAAAGCAAGGCAGAGCAGAGCAAUGACAACAGAAACAAAGCCAAACAGUAGCAUACAAUAGAUUAAAAACUUUUUGUAUUUGGCUGUAAGAAGCCUGGAACGAAAUGUAUUUUGGGGGAGAAGAAAAUAAAAAAAAAGGUUGAAAUUUAAAAGGUGUUCUUAGUUCUUUUUUUAUUUUUUCGUUCAUCAUAUUUCUUUUUCUUUUUUUCUUUUUUUCGCAAAUCGGUUUAAAUAAAAACUAAAAAGGAAGAGAAUAUCGCUCACCUGAAUCCCCUCGUUCUCGCCGUCAGAGUGAUUUCUCCGUCGUUGUAAUCGGGCUCGACAAAGGGACAGAGAACUCUUUUUUCUCCUUGUUCUUAGGUUGCUGAAGGUUUAGCCUUUGAAAGGGGAUUUGAAGACAGAGCUUAAAAGCUCGUUCUCCGCAAUGCCGGCCACUGGCCAUGGCAGCGGUUGAGUGAGCAGGAAAUGGCCUUGUCGGCUGAAAAGAAAGAGAAGAGAUAGGGGAGUCUGAGAGUGUUAGGUUUUUUUAAGAAAAAAUAAAAAAGAAAUAAAGGAUAAAAUGGUUUUAAAAUAAAAGUUUGAUUUAA